GACGAACGCUGGCGGCGUGCUUAACACAUGCAAGUCGAACGGAAAGGCCCUGCUUUUGUGGGGUGCUCGAGUGGCGAACGGGUGAGUAACACGUGAGUAACCUGCCCUUGACUUUGGGAUAACUUCAGGAAACUGGGGCUAAUACCGGAUAGGAGCUCCUGCUGCAUGGUGGGGGUUGGAAAGUUUCGGCGGUUGGGGAUGGACUCGCGGCUUAUCAGCUUGUUGGUGGGGUAGUGGCUUACCAAGGCUUUGACGGGUAGCCGGCCUGAGAGGGUGACCGGCCACAUUGGGACUGAGAUACGGCCCAGACUCCUACGGGAGGCAGCAGUGGGGAAUAUUGCACAAUGGGCGGAAGCCUGAUGCAGCAACGCCGCGUGCGGGAUGACGGCCUUCGGGUUGUAAACCGCUUUCGCCUGUGACGAAGCGUGAGUGACGGUAAUGGGUAAAGAAGCACCGGCUAACUACGUGCCAGCAGCCGCGGUGAUACGUAGGGUGCGAGCGUUGUCCGGAUUUAUUGGGCGUAAAGGGCUCGUAGGUGGUUGAUCGCGUCGGAAGUGUAAUCUUGGGGCUUAACCCUGAGCGUGCUUUCGAUACGGGUUGACUUGAGGAAGGUAGGGGAGAAUGGAAUUCCUGGCGGAGCGGUGGAAUGCGCAGAUAUCAGGAGGAACACCAGUGGCGAAGGCGGUUCUCUGGGCCUUUCCUGACGCUGAGGAGCGAAAGCGUGGGGAGCGAACAGGCUUAGAUACCCUGGUAGUCCACGCUGUAAACGGUGGGUACUAGGUGUGGGGUCCAUUCCACGGGUUCCGUGCCGUAGCUAACGCUUUAAGUACCCCGCCUGGGGAGUACGGCCGCAAGGCUAAAACUCAAAGGAAUUGACGGGGCCCCGCACAAGCGGCGGAGCAUGCGGAUUAAUUCGAUGCAACGCGUAGAACCUUACCUGGGUUUGACAUGGAUCGGGAGCGCUCAGAGAUGGGUGUGCCUCUUUUGGGGUCGGUUCACAGGUGGUGCAUGGCUGUCGUCAGCUCGUGUCGUGAGAUGUUGGGUUAAGUCCCGCAACGAGCGCAACCCUUGUUCACUGUUGCCAGCACGUUAUGGUGGGGACUCAGUGGAGACCGCCGGGGUCAACUCGGAGGAAGGUGGGGAUGACGUCAAGUCAUCAUGCCCCUUAUGUCCAGGGCUUCACGCAUGCUACAAUGGCUGGUACAGAGAGUGGCGAGCCUGUGAGGGUGAGCGAAUCUCGGAAAGCCGGUCUCAGUUCGGAUUGGGGUCUGCAACUCGACCUCAUGAAGUCGGAGUCGCUAGUAAUCGCAGAUCAGCAACGCUGCGGUGAAUACGUUCCCGGGGCU
rnacentral:rRNA from 1 species